GGGGAUGAAUUAGUUUCGACUGGCAUACAUUGAUAUUAUACGCAUGUCGUGCGGUGGCACGUUAAACACAUGAUUCGUUCUCGACGAAUAAAAAUAAACGCAGACAACAAUAAAUUAGCUUACGCUGCUUAAUUGCGUAGCCGUCAACUUAUUGGUACCAACACGAUAAGAUUUGGCGUCAUAUGUUGGUGAACGUCAUAAUGUGGUUCCUUACGCAUUGUGAUGAAAAUAAAGGAUAGUUAUUAAAAAGUGUCAAUGUUAAUUUUUAAUGACGAAUUUACCCAUUGACUAAGCAUGUAGUGUAUGGUCUCAAUCUAUGUUAGGACAUGGGUGCGACUCCCAUCAUCUCCACCA
rnacentral:tmRNA from 1 species